UAGGGAAUAUUGGGCAAUGGACGCAAGUCUGACCCAGCCAUGCCGCGUGCAGGAUGAAGGCGCUCAGCGUUGUAAACUGCUUUUAUCUGGGAAGAACAGCCGUCCUGCGGGAUGGUGUGACGGUACCAGAGGAAUAAGCACCGGCUAACUCCGUGCCAGCAGCCGCGGUAAUACGGAGGGUGCAAGCGUUGUCCGGAUUUAUUGGGUUUAAAGGGUGCGUAGGUGGUUGUUUAAGUCUGAUUUGAAAGCAGGCGGCUUAACCGUCUGAUGUGGUUGGAAACUGAACAACUUGAAUGGGUUGGCGGUAGCCGGAAUGGGUCAUGUAGCGGUGAAAUGCAUAGAUAUGACCCGGAACACCGAUUGCGAAGGCAGGCUACUACGACUUGAUUGACACUGAGGCACGAGAGCAUGGGUAGCGAACAG
rnacentral:rRNA from 1 species